CCCCAGGCCUGCCGGGCGUGGGUUUCCCAACUCGUGGCCUUCCCUGGGAGCGAAGCCAGGACCGGCGGCCCGAUUCUCUGGAGCCAGGGGCCCCCGGGUGGCUAGAGCUGGAAUAGCAGAGAAGCGUCGCCUGGUUUUGGUCCCGGCCAGCGGAGAGAGUGGGAUAACCUGGGUGGUGUUUUCUCCUCUCUCCGGCCUCACACACUCAUGAGCCCUCCUUGGGGCCACCUUAAAGAAACUAGAGAGAAGGGAGAUGAUUUCUUCUUGAUGGCGGGAAACCCUUUCCCCGGCUUUGGGAAGCAGCAGCUCCAUGGGCUCUAAACUAGUCAGGUGCGGCUCUGAUGACCAUUUGAAGAAUCUGCACGAGUUUCACGCUGAGAAGAGAGGAGACCUGACCGGGCAGUUGACCAGCAGCCACAGAACUUGUUCUCCAGGGCUGUUCUUGAGGCCUGGCCACAAUGUUUACCUUGGCAUGUCUCUGGUCUUUUGCGGGACAUUGUCUCUGUUUCCUAGCAAGGUGGACAGCAUAUCAGAUGGUCAGAACAAAUAAAGUUCAGUGUCAAAUGACUCCUGGCUCUCUUUGAGUCCCUAGGAUAUGGACUGCUCAAGGAUGGUGAGAGGGAGAUUCUUGAACCCCGCGACCUUAUACAGUUGAGUGUCUGGAAGGCAAAUUUAUAAGACAUUCAAAAUGUUUUCUGUGACUCUCCCACUCGAGAUGUCUUCUAGCCUCCUGCAAUCCUCACCUAUUUAAGUGACUACAGAGUACAAAACAUGUAGGUUUGGCGCACAUAGGCCUAGACUGAAACCCCGGGUCUGCCGUUUAUUAGGUGUGUGGCCUUGAGCAAGUCCUAACUACCCUGAGGCUCAGAAAACAGUAAGAGGCUGUGUGGGACAGGGGUUAAGAAUGAAGCCAGACUUGGGUUUAAAUCUCAGCUAUACCACUUUUUGACCUUGGACAGAUUUAAUUUCUUUAAAUCUGGGCUUUCUUGUCUUUAAACUUACUAGGGUUGUGAAGACCAAAUGAGAUAAUUCAAGUAAAGUGAGCAUAUACUGAGUACUCAAUAAAGGUUAACUAUUGCUAUAAAAAUAUUUUGUUAUAAAAUAAUUGGCCUUCCUGUGUAUUGUGAGGAUUAAGUGAGAAGGUAUAUCGAAGCCCCAGGUGGUUCUCCUAAUCAGGUGCUCCACGUCCCCUUCACACAGGUCCCGAAGAUUUGUUUCCUCUAUGUGCUGUUGUCUCCUGCCACUAAAUCUUAUCCUAUGCCUCACCCCCUUUGAAAAAAGCCCUCAUGCCCACUAAGACAAUACUCAGAAGGUUCUAAUGAUAGAAGUCAAGUCUAUUUGAUUUUUUUUUUUUAGACAUCCAGUGUCCUUCUAGUACCCUCAAGGAACGUGCACUGAAGCA
rnacentral:lncRNA from 1 species